rnacentral:rRNA from 1 species
AUACGUAGGGGGCGAGCGUUGUCCGGAAUGAUUGGGCGUAAAGGGCGCGUAGGCGGCCCGGUAAGUCUGGAGUGAAAGUCCUGUUUUUAAGAUGGGAAUUGCUUUGGAUACUGUCGGGCUUGAGUGCAGGAGAGGUAAGUGGAAUUCCCAGUGUAGCGGUGAAAUGCGUAGAGAUUGGGAGGAACACCAGUGGCGAAGGCGACUUACUGGACUGUAACUGACGCUGAGGCGCGAAAGUGUGGGGAGCAAACAGGAUUAGAUACCCUGGUAGUCCACACUGUAUACGAUGAAUGCUAGGUGUAGGGGGUAUCGACCCCUUCUGUGCCGCAGUCAACACAAUAAGCAUUCCGCCUGGGGAGUACGGCCGCAAGGUUGAAACUCAAAGGAAUUGGCGGGG